AUAGCGUAUAUUUAAGUUGUUGCAGUUAAAAAGCUCGUAGUUGGAUUUCGGGUGGGGCGCGCCGGUCCGCCGUUUCGGUGAGCACUGGCGCGGCCCACCUUGCUGCCGGGGACGGGCUCCUGGGCUUCAUUGCUCGGGACUCGGAGUCGGCGAGGUUACUUUGAGUAAAUUAGAGUGUUCAAAGCAGGCCUACGCUCUGAAUACAUUAGCAUGGAAUAACACGAUAGGACUCUGGCCUAUCUUGUUGGUCUGUAGGACCGGAGUAAUGAUUAAGAGGGACAGUCGGGGGCAUUCGUAUUUCAUUGUCAGAGGUGAAAUUCUUGGAUUUAUUGAAGACUAACUACUG
rnacentral:rRNA from 1 species